rfam:Gongylonema pulchrum genome assembly, scaffold: GPTH_scaffold0013804
GGACCGGUGGUGUAGUGGUAACACAUUACGCCCGCACGUGAGGGGGAAUAGUUCGAUUCCUUCCUGGCCCA